rfam:Echinostoma caproni strain Egypt genome assembly, scaffold: ECPE_scaffold0000764
GUACUGCUGACGAGUCCGAAACAGGACGAAACAGCUGUCUCGGUGC